CUACUUCGUCGAAUACUCGUAUAUUACACGUAGAAACACAAAGAAGGCAUCUAGUGCUCCUUCAUUUUGAAAGUUAUGCAAAUCUCAGAGGACAAAACUGCUGUAAGCAGCAAGCAAAUAGUUUGACAUUGUAACCCUAGUAUUUCUCUGAUGAACUCAAGCUCCGAUUCAGCAAAACUAUAAUGAAGUGCAUCCGUCUCUCUGACUUUUUCUAGAUUUGAAAUAGCGAAACAGGUGAAAGAAUCCUGUUACGGCCUGGUGUUUGGAUUCAUCCAAUUCGUUACGAUUGCCUUCACAGCACUUUGGACGAUGGUUAUUGUCGAAGAUACCUUUUUUACUUUCAACAUUCAAAGACAGUUUGAGUUUUGCGCUAUAUAUUUCUUGGCCAUCGGAAUAUACUACCUACUGAGGACCAUUCAGUACUCAAUAUGGGGCAAAGAUGAGCUGAAAUAAACCAGACGAUAGCAAAAAGACUUCAAUUUUGUUUACUAGCCUUGAUGAAGGCCACUGUCAACUCUGAUAAACACACAAGUAUUAUGAGUACUAAUAGGACGUAUUUAUGCUAAAAGGGACUAUGUUACACGCGCACCCUAUGCACAUAUUUCCUUUUAGCAUAUACGUCCAAUAGUGGAGUCCUGUAUUUUAAAUUCCAUAGGUUUUGGAAGCAUGAAGCUCCCACUCGACGUUUGUAGAACUUUUGAAAACUGACUACACGUCAUAAAUACGAUAACAUUUGAAUUUGAUUGUGGAUAAAUGAAAAACACAAAUGGUAAGCUGUGCGUCUAUGGGAAUCCUACGAGAUGUAAGAGGCGAAAUUUGGUAAACUCAAGGGUUUACCCUGGAUAAAUUCACUGCAAAACUUUGAUUGUAAAUCUAGUUGCUGCAAAUGAGUCUGUAAAAUUACUGAAAAGGUGCCUCGCAAUUUAGCAGCACUGUAUGAUUAACAUUAGCGUAAAAGUCGUUGGUUCAGUAUUUUCAAUCCUCAUUUCCACCAUUGUGAUAAUUUCAUGCAGCUUGGUUUUUUAAAUUUUUUUUAAAUCUUUGUUAAAAAUAUCCGCCUGAAUGCUAAGUGCAUUCUAUAAACCCAAUGUAUUUACUCUCACUCGAUGAACAUUUUAAUGGUGCUUCAUUUGUAAGCAAACUUACGUAUGUUUUAUGAGCUGGCUUAGCUCAAACUCUUUUGUAAGACUUAAUGUUAAAGAACUUGUGGUUUUGUAGUGUAAAACAACUUGAAAACUAACUGGACAGCCAGAAAGGUGGAAAACAUUGUUCUUGCUCAAGUUUAAAUUAGUUUACGAAGUACAUUGUACGGGUUAGUAU
rnacentral:lncRNA from 1 species